GAUGAACGCUGGCGGCGUGCCUAAUACAUGCAAGUCGAGCGAACAGACGAGGAGCUUGCUCCUCUGACGUUAGCGGCGGACGGGUGAGUAACACGUGGAUAACCUACCUAUAAGACUGGGAUAACUUCGGGAAACCGGAGCUAAUACCGGAUAAUAUAUUGAACCGCAUGGUUCAAUAGUGAAAGACGGUUUUGCUGUCACUUAUAGAUGGAUCCGCGCCGCAUUAGCUAGUUGGUAAGGUAACGGCUUACCAAGGCAACGAUGCGUAGCCGACCUGAGAGGGUGAUCGGCAACACUGGAACUUAGACACGGUCCAGACUCCUACGGGAGGCAGCAGUAGGGAAUCUUCCGCAAUGGGCGAAAGCUUGACGGAGCAACGCCGCGUGAGUGAUGAAGGUCUUCGGAUCGUAAAACUCUGUUAUUAGGGAAGAACAAAUGUGUAAGUAACUAUGCACGUCUUGACGGUACCUAAUCAGAAAGCCACGGCUAACUACGUG
rnacentral:rRNA from 1 species